UACGUAGGGGGGCUAGCGUUGUCCGGAAUCAUUGGGCGUAAAGCGCGCGUAGGCGGCCAGAUAAGUCCGGUGUGAAAGUCACAGGCUCAACCUGUGAAUGCCGCUGGAAACUGUCUGGCUUGAGUCCGGAAGGGGCGAGUGGAAUUCCUGGUGUAGCGGUGAAAUGCGCAGAUAUCAGGAGGAACAUCAAUGGCGAAGGCAGCUCGCUGGAACGGUACUGACGCUGAGGCGCGAAAGCGUGGGGAGCGAACAGG
rnacentral:rRNA from 1 species